UUCUGAUAAACCAAGUGCACCUCCGGUACACUUACCACUGUUACGACUGGCUCCCCUUUGUAUUUUUAGUUUAUUAGUUAUGUUAAGUUUGUUUUGGGGAGAGUGACGGGCGGUGUGUGCGCGCUUCAGGGCCAAGUUUCAGUAGUACACUCUAUUUACUGCUUACUGCUAAAUCCUCCUUCUAAUGUAUGUUUCAUUACAUUUUUCGUGUACCCUGUUUAGGGAAUGUAGCCAUUUCUUCCCCUCUCAUAUGCUACACCUCGACCUGACGUUUUAAGUUAUACUGGCUUUGCUUACUAUUAAUCCUUCACAGGGUAAGCUGACGACGGCGGUAUAUAGGCGGGAAAAACAAGAGAGGGUGAGGUUGAACGGGGGUUGUCGGUUUCAGAACAGGCUCCUCUAGGUGGGUCUAAAGCACCGCCAAGUCCUUUGGAUUUUAAGCUAGAGCUUGUAGUACCCUGGCGAACAGUUGGUGUAGAUUCUGUCAAAGUUUAUGGCUGUGCAUAGUGGGGUAUCUAAUCCCAGUUUGUUUCACAGCUUUCGUGGAGUCAGAUGUAUUAAAGUUACUUUCGUAAAAAUUUUUCUUAUUCUCGGGUGCGGUAUAACAGCUUUGAGACUAUUCUACUUUAGUUUAUGUUUUUCUAAACCACGCUUUACGCCGAUAAUUAUCAAUUUAAGCCUCUCGUAUAACCGCGGUGGCUGG
rnacentral:rRNA from 1 species